GUUAGAUAGUACAAUUGUGAAACUACGAAAAUGAGCUUCAUAAAGAAUUAUACUAGACUGUUAUUAGAAGGUCCUUUAUCUCAACUGUCCUCAUGUCCCAUACAUAUCAUCUCUCUAUAAUACAAUAGGUCUUAUAGAUCUAAACAUGAUUUUUUUAUAUUUUUUGAAAAGAAAGAUUAGAUUAAAAACAUUCAUUUCUCUUCAUUCACCUAGUAAGAUUAGAUUUCUCUGACAUGUGAUGUGAUGAAAAUUGAUUGUUAUAUUGCAUAAUUUGGUGUGUGUCUAAUCUUAAGCAGGUCAGACACUGUUUGAGGUAAGUUAAGCUUUGCUGAAAGUGCAGGCUGGUUGCUGGUGUGUUGAAAGGGUCUGAGAGCUGCUGGUGCUUUGUUUACUGGUUGUGUUGAGUGUACUUAUGAUCUCCUUUUGUUUGUUGGUAGUUGUUGUUUGUAGAUUUUUCUGGUUUUGGUUGUGCUGUUUGGUUGGUGACUCUCCAACCUUGGCAGUGUGCUAGCAAAUGAUUGGGCUCGUAUGGUGGUGCCAACCUAGUCAGGAUUGCUAUAUCGGGCUGUGAUGCCUCGAUAAAGAUUCUUUUUAGUUGUUAUAAUCAAUAAAGAUUCUUUUGCUGAUCCAAAAAAAGAAGAAAAAGAAAUCAUUUAUUUUUCUGACUCUUUGGAGGUGGAAUGCCCUGCUUUGAUCUCAAUACUUGCAACACUUGCUCACUAGAUCUGUUUGUGUAUUUACAUGUGUAUUGAUGUAUUUGGGCUUCUUUCUCAUUGGUUCUCUCUGUUGGUAAUUUAGUUGACUGACAAAUGUUUUCCAGGUCAAUCUGAGAACCCUGAAGUUAAUGCAGAAAGGUCAAAUGCUCAGCUUGACACAGGAGUUGGUAUGGGAAAUUAGACGAUGAACAUGAGGUGGUUUUUGGCCUUUCUUUCCUACAGCAGGAAACUAUUCCUUCUUUGGAAACAAAUUCAAAUGAGAGUCAUAUUGAUCAGCUUGGAAGUGGUGGAGAAUGCUCAAGCCCUUUAGAUGGACCAAUCAAAAGUGGAUCAUCAAUUUCUGUUAUCUGUACUAGUUCAAAGCCUGAUUUUUCAAAGUUAAAGGGUGAAAUAUGUUUGGACAACCUAUCAGUUAGGGAACUUCAUGAAACCUUUAAAGCAACAUUUGGACGGGAAACUUCUGUCAAGGACAAACAGUGGCUGAGGAGGAGGAUUGCCAUGGGAUUGGCCAACUCUUGUGAUGUUCCAACUAUAACUUUUGUGAUUAAAGAUAACAAAGUGGUGAAGAAAGGUAAAGAAGAAAGCUUUAAGAGUGUAGAUCAUACCCCUGCUAAGGUUCUGUCAGUUGGAGUGAAUGAAAACUGUGGAGGUUCACCAAUUGGAUGAAAUAACCAAAUAGAAAAUCCUCAAUAUCUUUGUGGCAAGAUAUUGACAGAUCCUAGUUUAGAAUAUGAUUGUAGUGUUGAAGAUUUGAACAUUGAACAGAGAGCAGCAAAAAGAGUUCGGAAUGGAAGAAGCAAGCGAAUGUGUGAAGCCAUCUAAGGGUAACUUUCAUGCUACUGCUGCAUGAAUGUAUAUAUUGGGAAUGUAAAGUUUAGUAUGUAGCUUUUACCUUGUUAUCUUGCAGACAGUCUUGCUAUUUUUUUGGUGGGGAAGGUUAAGUUGAUUCUGUAACUUCUGUGUCUGUCUCUCUUUGUACUUGACACGAUUGUAAAGAAAUAAAGUUGUCUUGUAAUGUUUAUGAUUGAUGA